AAUAAACAUGAAAAAAAUCUGAAAAAAAAAAAAAAAAAGAAAGCUACAACAGGACUGGCUUUGAAGAAGAAAGAGACCAUGGGCCAAGAAAUGCAGGUGUCCUCUAGAAGCUGGAAAAAACAAGUAAAUGGAUGGAACUCAGAAGGAGACAUCAAAUUCUAUUGCCCUAUAUUUACAACUUGUGUCAAGUCUCUCAAUCAUUGGAAUUAUUGUGCCCAUCAGCGCAUUCCCUUCUACUGAAGUGAAGAACCAAAGAACAGAGCUCUACCUAUGAAGACAGUUUGAGUUCUGCAAGAAAUGUGUAUGAUUCUCAGGGGUUUUUGUUGUUGUUGUUGUUAAUUAGUAUUUUUUCACUCAUAUUCUCAAACAUAAGCAUUUAAAAUUAGAAAAUCCCACUCUACUCAUUAUUGGAACUUAAAAUAUAACUGUAUGGAGCAUAACAAAGUUUUAAAUAGAAUAAUAGAUUGAUUUUCUUUCUAAACAUCUCCUUUUUCUAUGAAAAGUGUUUUCUAGGAUUAAUUGCUAUAGCUUUUAGGCCUUUUGGGAGGACUCUAUGGGCUAAGAAAAGCUAAAUAGGAAGGUGGGAAAAAGGGAAGUAGAGAUUUCUCAUUUAGAAACUUAAGGUUUCUGAA